rnacentral:lncRNA from 1 species
GCCCAAAGAUUGUAUAGCGCCGCGCUAUACAAUCUUUGGGCCAGCCGGCCGGCCAGCAGGGCUAGGCUCCGUCCGUCCCUACGGACAAUCAUUGGAAAUGCGUGGAGCUAGACGCGCAGACAAUAGACCUAGCUACCUAGCCGUAGCUCUGGAAGCCCGUUUCGGAGAUUAACACACCCUGCAAUAAGUGCUUUCCAGCUGUGAGACUCUGCUUCAGCCUUCAACAGUGUUAACCGUGUCACGUAGCAUGAUUAACGGUAGGCCUAGGCCGAAGUGACGUUGUGGCUGCAUUACCCAGAUCUGCCUUUGAAAAGUUCAAGGCUUCAAUUUCAACAAUGAGCAAAACAAGGAAAGUCUUCAUCCCUCCCACCAGAGACAAUUAUGUGCCUGUGAAAAAACUACAAGAGGUGGAAAAGACUCAGACUGACAACGAAAGUCACACACGAAAAAGGGUUCAACAUGUUCAGCAGACCAUGGCCAUGCAGACCGGAGUUCGGUCCGCAGGUAGGCCUAAUUCGGUGUUCACUACAUUAACAAGAAGUUCAACACCUGGUGCACGUCAGUCCAAUUACCAGCAGGACGAUGAAUUCUUUCUGCAUGAUAACAGCUUUGCUGAAAACACAGUGUGCGGUGAUGUUUAUGAAUUUCGGAGCUCUCCGUCACAGUCAUCAGUCUCAAACUCGUCCAGAGAAACUCAGCAUCACAGAAAGGGCAAACAACCUUCAAAGGAGGUUAGAAAAAGGAAGGAUGCUGUCAAGAAAGAUGUGUUGAAGAACAUUAGGAAAAUGCAGAGAGCACUAAUACUUUUAAGAGAGCGAGAAAAAUCCUUACUGGUUACCAGUGAAUAAUAAAAAAAAAAACAGCGUUCAGCCACCAAGAAAUGCCGGACCAAAGCAGUGAAAGCAAUGAUGCAGUGAAGAAAAUGUACAAGAGCGUUACAACAGGAACAUGUAACGGUUGUGCGCUUGGCAGGGGAGGACUGUUGAGGAACAGUGGAAGCACCUUUCAUGACAGUCGUGGGGGAAAGGGGGCAGAUGAAGCACCUCUUGAAAAUGUGAAUUCAGGUGGAAACAAGGGUUGGAAAUCCGUUCCCAACAGAAGGUGAGCAAUAUUGUACUGCUAACCUGGAAGUGCAUGCAGAGCUAAUUAUUUUCAUUAAAAGUCACAGGUCUGAUGAGCAAACCUCAGUACUGUUGUGGCACCAGACUAGUGGCAUAACCAGGUCUUACGUGUGGGGAAGGGGGGAAAAUAGUAUCGUUUUUUGUUUUUCUAAAAGCCAAUGCCCAAUUUGUUUUUCCGUCCAAGAGAAUCCUCAACCGCCCCCAAAAAGAAAGUGGGAGUACCGUUUCUAAAACACUGGCCCUUUCAAUUCCUAAAAAAAAAAUUUUUUCGCCCGUCCCCCGUUGGAUAUCCCACUACACCACACCCAUUCACUUUUGUGGCUUCUGAUGCUGGUCCCAGAUUAGUCCUUGUUUUGAUUAUUAAAGCAGUGCAGAAAAGAGCAGCUGAGAACUAGACAUGGAGAACCAGCUUUUCCAUAACUAAUAUUUUCACGUGGCUCUACCCAGACAUUAACAUAAGAUGGAAUUUUUUCUUGAAUGUCAAUUCACAAUUACAGGGCCAGAGUUUAUUCACCAGCGAUGUACACUGACAAGUGAAAAGCAUGAAAUGAGCUGUGAAUCUGUCUCAGGCUACAGUCCCAAGAACAUGUCCCUCUUCUCGCCCCCUCCCCCCAGCUUUUAACGUUUACAUUCCAAAUUCUCUAGCAAGCAUUUGCCAGUCUGAACAAGCUAAUUGGAAGCUGAAGCAAAAUCAUAUUUGUUGCAGAAAAUGAACAAAAUGUAGCUGAUAAAGUGGUCCUUUACUUUGGGGAAAAAAAUCUGCUAGAUUGGUAACUUGAGUCAGGGAUGUGGACAAUAUUGAGAGCACCCCACAUUACAUGAGUGUGAGGUUUAGAUGCAUUUAAUGAAAUAACAGUCCAAAUUUAUGAAAGCAUUUGUCCCCAACUAAAUGUCCUGGACAGAAAGUGCUUGAAAAGUCCUUGAAAGAUGCCUUUGCAAAGACUGAGAUCCCUUUUGGGCCCUCUCCUGUCAUCUGAGGACCACUGGACAAGACCAAAGACAUAAAAGACUCAUUUCAGUACCCUCAUCAAACCUCACCCCCGCAACUGAUUACGGAAAAACAACAAUCACUGGCACCACAUUUCAAUGGCACCACCACAACCUGGUUUACGACAAACAAAUCCAACUAAGCAUAACCAACAUGGAAACUAAAAAGAAAGUUAAAGAAAACCCCAGGCCUUUUUGAAAAUUUGAAAAUUCUUGAAUGAGUUCCUCAGUUGAUAUCGUGUCCAAUUUGACUCCCUAGGGUUGUACUUUGUUUUUGUGGGUAGGAGAGUCAAGCUGUCAAUCACUCAGUCUGUUGGUCAGUCCAGUAUCGUAUCAGCACAAAGAAUGCCUUUAGGUUUGAAACAGAGUUUAACUUUGAGCUUAAAACCGGCUUUCUUUUCGGAAUUAAUUUUUGUCACUGUCCCUCGGGGAGGGGGGAUUAGAAUGGUAAAAAUAUGAUCACGGCACCCAGGUUUCCUCAGCUGGGGCAGUGCCAGGAUCACUUCAUGAUCUAAAUGAGCGACAUACACACAGCAAAAAUGGGUUUUGUGGACAACAAAAGAAAAACGCGG